CACGCAGGCGGUCGGAUAAGUCAGAUGUGAAAGCCCCGGGCUCAACCUGGGAACUGCAUUUGAAACUGUCCGACUAGAGUCUUGUAGAGGGGGUAGAAUUCCAGGUGUAGCGGUGAAAUGCGUAGAGAUCUGGAGGAAUACCGGUGGCGAAGGCGGCCCCCUCGGACAAAGACUGACGCUCAGAUGCGAAAGCGUGGGGAGCAAACA
rnacentral:rRNA from 1 species